ensembl:processed_transcript
CCUUUCCACCGCGGCCUCCGCCGAGGCUGCUGGGUCCUGCGGAGCUCCGAGCACGUGCGGGUGAGUGAGGUCCCAAGGAGCAAGGGGUCUGGAGGUUUUACUAGCCCAGGCGAGAAGCGGGGCGAGAAGGUUUCUGCCUGGGCAGGAAAAGGAAUUGGGUUUUGUUUUUUUUUUUUUUAUUACCUCCAGUCUUGGAGGUCAUCUUAAAGGAAUAGCCCGAAGAAUCAACGUCAGUGAGGUGCAGUCCUUAUCCAGCUAGGGAGUCACCUAGAAUCAGGCUCAGUUUAGCAUUUCCGGAGCCCCAGACAAGGACUGAGAAAGGUUUGAGUAGAACACGUGUCCGGGGAGAACCAGAUCUGCUUCAGCCCACGCCCUGAAGGGGCUUUUAGACCUAAACAGUGAGGCCUGUAUUCGUUUUCCUGUUCCUUUAAAUUGGGUAGAAUUGGUUAGAUGUGAAGUUUGGGCUUGGAUAACUUGCCCUUAGAUAUGUUAAAAUGAUAUGCACAUGUCCAGCCUUCGAGGUCCUUAGCACACUACAUCUACAUUCAAUUACUAUUCGAUGUGUUAACUUAUAUCGUUUUUAAAAAUGUGUUCAAGCCUGCUCUCUAGCUUUAGUAUGCACACUGGGUAACCAUCGCUUCUCCUCUUGCCCCACUCCCCAUUUUGACUAAGGUGCCAUUUUUAAGAGUGGGUCUCAAAGUGCAGGGUGGCUGGUUCUGGCGGCAGUCUUACUGUCUUAGCUUCCUACAAGUUAAGAUUACAGGGAUCAGCCACCAGAGCAGUGCCCUGUGGUCCAAUCUACCUGAUUGAUGUACAGGGGGUAAUGUAUAAUGCCGUUCUACAAAUGAGAACUCCAGGGAGUAAGUAGACUUGCAUAAUGGAAUGGUUAUCUGGGAGUGGAGCUCCCAAAGUUAAGCUGUUCCUCUUGUUUCCUUGACUCAGUAAAGGGCGUUUGAGGGCUGGCGAUGUUUUUUAAUUGAAUUGCACAGGCUGACUAAUCUGGGAUGUUUUGAUUUCCUAGUGCCCAGCUGCCGAUCUGAGGCGAUGCCUGCCCUGGUGAGUACAGUUCCGUUAUUUCCCGUUUGCCCCAGCUGUAGGCAGCUACCUGGGUUCCAUUGUACCUAGGCAAGUGUUACACUGCUGGGAGAACAGCAGCCAAUAGCUGGUUGGCAUUCUGGGCCUGGUUCAUGCCAACUCUGUUGUUAACUGUACCAGGAUGUCAGCAUAGUUGCUUACCCAAGAAGAGAAGAGCAAGCUCUGCAGGAAGAAACCUAAAGUCCAGGUCUUCCAACACGGAGGUUACUUAAGUCACAACUCGGAAAUGGAACUGAGUAAAAGCCAGUAAGGGAAAUAAACAAG